rnacentral:rRNA from 1 species
AACGAACGCUGGCGGCAGGCCUAACACAUGCAAGUCGAGCGGACCUUUCGGGGUCAGCGGCGGACGGGUGAGUAACGCGUGGGAAUAUGCCCUUCUCUACGGAAUAGUCCUGGGAAACUGGGGGUAAUACCGUAUACGCCCUUUGGGGGAAAGAUUUAUCGGGGAAGGAUUAGCCCGCGUUGGAUUAGGUAGUUGGUGGGGUAAUGGCCUACCAAGCCGACGAUCCAUAGCUGGUUUGAGAGGAUGAUCAGCCACACUGGGACUGAGACACGGCCCAGACUCCUACGGGAGGCAGCAGUGGGGAAUCUUAGACAAUGGGGGCAACCCUGAUCUAGCCAUGCCGCGUGAGUGAUGAAGGCCUUAGAGUUGUAAAGCUCUUUCAGCUGGGAAGAUAAUGACGGUACCAGCAGAAGAAGCCCCGGCUAACUCCGUG